GACGAACGCUGGCGGCGUGCCUAAUACAUGCAAGUCGAGCGGACGAAUCGAAAGCUUGCUUUUGAUUCGUUAGCGGCGGACGGGUGAGUAACACGUGGGCAACCUGCCCUGUAGACGGGGAUAACACCGAGAAAUCGGUGCUAAUACCGGAUAACACGAAAUGUCGCAUGACGUUUCGUUGAAAGACGGCGCACGCUGUCGCUACAGGAUGGGCCCGCGGCGCAUUAGCUAGUUGGUGAGGUAACGGCUCACCAAGGCGACGAUGCGUAGCCGACCUGAGAGGGUGAUCGGCCACACUGGGACUGAGACACGGCCCAGACUCCUACGGGAGGCAGCAGUAGGGAAUCUUCCGCAAUGGACGAAAGUCUGACGGAGCAACGCCGCGUGAGCGAAGAAGGCCUUCGGGUCGUAAAGCUCUGUUGUUAGGGAAGAACAAGUAACGCAGUAACUGGCGUUACCGUGACGGUACCUAACGAGAAAGCCACGGCUAACUACGUG
rnacentral:rRNA from 1 species